rnacentral:rRNA from 1 species
UACAGAGGUCUCAAGCGUUGUUCGGAUUCAUUGGGCGUAAAGGGUGCGUAGGUGGCGCCGUCAGUCAGGUGUGAAAUCCCGGGGCUCAACCCCGGAACUGCACUUGAUACUGCGGUGCUCGAGUACUGGAGAGGAGAUUGGAAUUUACGGUGUAGCAGUGAAAUGCGUAGAUAUCGUAAGGAAGACCAGUGGCGAAGGCGAAUCUCUGGACAGUUACUGACACUGAGGCACGAAGGCCAGGGGAGCAAACGGG